CUUCGGAGCACUGGAGACAGGGGGUGCAUGGUUGUCGUCGCUCGUGUCGUGAGAUGUUGGGUUAAGUCCCGCAACGAGCGCAACCCUUAUCCUUAGUAGCCAGCAAGUAAUGUUGGGCACUCUGGGGAGACUGCCAGGGAUAACCUGGAGGAAGGUGGGGAUGACGUCAAAUCAUCAUGCCCCUUAUGAUUUGGGCUACACACGUGCUACAAUGGCGUAAACAAAGGGAAGCAAAGGAGCGAUCUGGAGCAAACCCCAAAAAUAACGUCUCAGUUCGGAUUGCAGGCUGCAACUCGCCUGCAUGAAGCUGGAAUCGCUAGUAAUCGCGAAUCAAAAUGUCGCGGUGAAUACGUUCCCGGGUCUG
rnacentral:rRNA from 1 species